CUCCAAGUUAAAUUAAUUAUCGCAAAACCAAUUGAUACCAAUUUCAUAUUGUAUAACAUCAAAAAAACAACAAUAUGACUACUUCAUGCCAACUUUUUGAAUUAAUUCACACCCACGAAAUAUCAAAUCAAUAAAAAUCAAAUACAUAGAAGAUUCAGCCCAAAGAGAAUUUUUAUAUUCUAUAGAGAUUAAAUGAGAACUAGACCUCAAAAUCGACUUUAAAUUUGAUCAAAGAAACUGAUUUCCACGGAUGAGAAACCUGCAUACCAAGACGAACCGAUGCCUUACUAAUUAAAAUAUGGACAACGAUCCAACUACUUCUACCCUUCUCGGAUUUUGGCUAUUAGAUUUCAUGCUAGAUUAGAGAUUAGUUUGAUAAUCACCAAUUGCUAAUGGUUGGAGGGAGUUUUAAUGUUGUUUUCGAGGAUGUGGUGGUGGAUUAAAAUCGACAAGAUGACAAAGAACCUCAAUUCCUCUUUCUCUCAUUUUUCUCUUCUGUAUCGGCGACUCUCUACUCGCCUUUUUCUCUAUGUAUUUUAUGGAAUUUUUAUUAUGUAUUGUGUUGUGCGUAUUUGUAAGGAUAAGUAUUAGUGAUGGGUUUAUUGAAAACUUCUCUGUUAAAAGAAGAGUGGAGGUGAUAUUUGUGGGUGUGCUAAUGAUCGAUUGUUUCCCUGAAUAAAUUGAAAGGAAAGAAUGGAGGUGGAUGGAAUAGAGUUGUUGUUUAUAUGGUAUUUUUUAUAGUAGUGGUUGGUCGGAAGAGGAGAAAGAGGUGUUAAUGGUGGUCUCCAUUUUCUCAUAAAUUGGUUACUAUUUUCUCUCCCGUCCUUAUUGUGUUUGUAUUUUGUGUGUAUAUAUUAUGGUAUUGUUAUGGUUGGUUGUUACUGUGGGUGGGUGGCGAGUGUUGUUGGUAUGUUAAUUUAAUGGUUUAAUGAGGGGGAAGGUUUGUUGUUGGUGUAUGUUCA
rnacentral:lncRNA from 1 species